CCUACGGGAGGCAGCAGUGGGGAAUUUUGGACAAUGGGCGCAAGCCUGAUCCAGCCAUUCCGCGUGAGUGAAGAAGGCCUUCGGGUUGUAAAGCUCUUUCGCAAGGGAAGAAAGAUUACAUUCUAAUAUAAUGUGAUUAUGACGGUACCUUGAUAAGAAGCACCGGCUAACUACGUGCCAGCAGCCGCGGUAAUACGUAGGGUGCGAGCGUUAAUCGGAAUUACUGGGCGUAAAGCGUGCGCAGGCUGUUUUGUAAGUCAGAUGUGAAAUCCCCGAGCUCAACUUGGGAACUGCGUUUGAAACUACAAGACUAGAAUAGGUCAGAGGGGGGUAGAAUUCCACGUGUAGCAGUGAAAUGCGUAGAGAUGUGGAGGAAUAUCAAUGGCGAAGGCAGCCCCCUGGGAUCAUAUUGACGCUCAUGCACGAAAGCGUGGGGAGCAAACAGGAUUAGAUACCCUGGUAGUCCACGCCCUAAACGAUGUCAACUAGUUGUUGGUAGAGUAAAAUCUAUGAGUAACGCAGCUAACGCGUGAAGUUGAACCGCCUGGGGAGUUACGAUUCGCAAGAUUAAAACCGUUAAGGAAUUGACGG
rnacentral:rRNA from 1 species